UACGUAGGGGGCUAGCGUUGUCCGGAAUCAUUGGGCGUAAAGCGCGUGUAGGCGGUUCGGUAAGUCCGCUGUGAAAGUCGGGGGCUCAACCCUCGGAUGCCGGUGGAUACUGUCGAGCUUGAGUACGGAAGAGGCGAGUGGAAUUCCUGGUGUAGCGGUGAAAUGCGCAGAUAUCAGGAGGAACACCGGUGGCGAAGGCGGAUCUCUGGGCCUUACCUGACGCUCAGGUGCGAAAGCUAGGGGAGCGAACAGG
rnacentral:rRNA from 1 species